GACCCAUGAUGAGGGCACCUUCUCAAUAAGUCCUUGUAUCUCUCCUAUGCAUCAUAUAAAGUUUCUACAUCAAUUUACACAAAUGAGAAGAUAUCAUUCCUCAACUU
rfam:Gossypium raimondii chromosome 11, whole genome shotgun sequence.